rnacentral:tRNA from 1 species
CAAAAAAUAGUUUAAUUAAAAUUUUAAUUUUGGAGAUUAAGGAUAUAAAAUUUUUAUUUUUUUGA